rnacentral:rRNA from 1 species
GACCUUUUAUUAGAGCGCGGCCUAGACCGUUCCCUUUUCUAAAUGGACGAUCCCGCGGCCCAUCAGCUAGUCGGUGGGGUAACGGCCUUCCAAGGCGACGACGGGUAGCCGGCCUGAGAGAGUGACCGGCCACACUGGUAUUGAGACACGGCCCAGACUCCUACGGGAGGCAGCAGUCCCCCCAUCCUGCACAAUGGGCGCAAGCCUAUGCAGCGACCCGCUAGGAGACGGCCUCGAGUUCUCCUCCACAGAACAAAGCCCAAUUCCUGGCAAGCCCGCGAAUUUGUACCCUAGCUUAGGUUCUGGAUAGGCCCCCUCCGG